AGCUUGCUCCCGGAUGUUAGCGGCGGACGGGUGAGUAACACGUGGGUAACCUGCCUGUAAGACUGGGAUAACUCCGGGAAACCGGAGCUAAUACCGGAUAGUUCCUUGAACCGCAUGGUUCAAGGAUGAAAGACGGUUUCGGCUGUCACUUACAGAUGGACCCGCGGCGCAUUAGCUAGUUGGUGGGGUAAUGGCUCACCAAGGCGACGAUGCGUAGCCGACCUGAGAGGGUGAUCGGCCACACUGGGACUGAGACACGGCCCAGACUCCUACGGGAGGCAGCAGUAGGGAAUCUUCCGCAAUGGACGAAAGUCUGACGGAGCAACGCCGCGUGAGUGAUGAAGGUUUUCGGAUCGUAAAGCUCUGUUGUUAGGGAAGAACAAGUGCGAGAGUAACUGCUCGCACCUUGACGGUACCUAACCAGAAAGCCACGGCUAACUACGUGCCAGCAGCCGCGGUAAUACGUAGGUGGCAAGCGUUGUCCGGAAUUAUUGGGCGUAAAGGGCUCGCAGGCGGUUUCUUAAGUCUGAUGUGAAA
rnacentral:rRNA from 1 species